ACGCUCGACACCUACGGGAGACAGCAGUAGGGAAUCUUCCACAAUGGACGCAAGUCUGAUGGAGCAACGCCGCGUGAGUGAAGAAGGUUUUCGGAUCGUAAAGCUCUGUUGUUGGUGAAGAAGGAUAGAGGUAGUAACUGGCCUUUAUUUGACGGUAAUCAACCAGAAAGUCACGGCUAACUACGUGCCACAGCCGCGGUAAUCUGAGCGGGCUGGCAAGGC
rnacentral:rRNA from 1 species